rnacentral:rRNA from 1 species
GUGGGGAAUAUUGCACAAUGGAGGGAACUCUGAUGCAGCGAUGCCGCGUGAGGGAAGAAGGUUUUCGGAUUGUAAACCUCUGUCAACGGGGACGAAAAUGACGGUACCCGAGAAGGAAGCUCCGGCUAACUACGUGCCAGCAGCCGCGGUAAUACGUAGGGAGCGAGCGUUGUCCGGAAUUACUGGGUGUAAAGGGAGCGUAGGCGGGGCUUUAAGUCAGGUGUGAAAACUACGGGCUCAACUCGUAGACUGCACUUGAAACUGAGGCUCUUGAGUGGAGCAGAGGCAGGCGGAAUUCCCGGUGUAGCGGUGAAAUGCGUAGAUAUCGGGAGGAACAUCAGUGGCGAAGGCGGCCUGCUGGGCUUUUACUGACGCUGAGGCUCGAAAGCGUGGGGAGCAAACAGG